AAUCAGUGAAACUUCUAAAUAUCUUGGAAUGUAAUAUUUUCUUGAUACCUUAUAAUUAUUAGUAGGAGUUACAUCAUUAGCAUUGAAUCUCACUGUCAGAGUAAAAAGGGAAAUUUGUUCUUAUUUUAUUUGUUUUCCUAUUUUCAAGGUCAUCUAGACAUUAGAGGGCAUUGGUGAUAGAAAAUAUUUCGCUUGUCUGAAUAUAUGCAAAUUAGGGUGUGGUCCGAGAAUGCUUAAAGGUGUGUACGUGUGGAUUUAAUCAGUGCAGUUGACUAGAAGACGGAGGUUGUAGCUGGACGUGUGAGAGGUCUUGAACAUGUACCCUUAUGUGUGUUGUGGAAGUUGCUACCAGAGCCUGAUUUUGUAUUCGGCGCAAGCAGUCUUUUUCCUCAGGCGACACCGGUACGAGAGGUAUCCUCCAUGUAGCCCAGAACCUCGAUUUUCCUGCCAUUGGCAAAACCUUGUCAACAUAACUCUGUGUAACGAGGGACAAGAACGUUCUUCACUACAAAACUAGUAGCACGCUGAGCGUCGUCGAAUUAGCAUCCAAGAAUCGCCGAGUCAGUAUAUCCGGGAUCGUGAAGCACGUGACCAAUUGCCGUAACGAGCGAUUACGGGACAUCAACCUUCACAAGUCUCCCAGCAUCGAAUCGUCGUAGGAACCAUGUCGGUAUUUGAUCUUCUUAUAUAGCAAAUACCAAGCAAAAGGCUUCCGCCUUAUUCGGACAAUUGUCUCAAUUUCGGACACUUAAAAAACUGGGAAGUUAACUUUAGACUGGAUUACACUUGUGGGUAUUGGAGUAAUUAAAUGACCGUACGUAUAUGUAAUAUUUGUGUAACAGCAGAUUUCUAUGAAUUUAGAUGUUGAUGUAGUUGUCAAUAAACAGUCUGUAGAACUCA